rnacentral:rRNA from 1 species
UACAGAGGUCUCAAGCGUUGUUCGGAUUCAUUGGGCGUAAAGGGUGCGUAGGUGGCGCGGUAAGUCGGGUGUGAAAUCUCGGAGCUUAACUCCGAAACUGCAUUCGAUACUGCCGUGCUUGAGGACUGGAGAGGAGACUGGAAUUUACGGUGUAGCGGUGAAAUGCGUAGAUAUCGUAAGGAAGACCAGUGGCGAAGGCGGGUCUCUGGAUAGUUCCUGACGCUGAGGCACGAAGGUCAGGGGAGCAAACGGG